rnacentral:lncRNA from 1 species
GCGGCGCCCGCGGAGCCACGGUGCCACCGCACUGCCCCCCGGGCCGCUCGCUCCGCGCUCUCGCGGGCUCCUGGACGGCGGCCGCCACGGGGCCGGGGUCCGCCCCGUGGAGGGAAACGGGAUUUCCUGCCUUGAGGGAGCUACAGCGACCAGCGCAGCUUCUCUCUGGAGCUGUGCCCUGCGAGGUCUGCAGCAUGUGCACGGAACGUCAGAUGAGAGGCCCCCCCCUCCCAGCCCGGCCUGUUUCAGUUUCUGCCUUCCUAAGGUCUCUGCUCUGUCUAAGAUGGGCUGCUCGAGUGGCCUGGCCACAUGCUGCUGCRAGGAGGAAGGACAGUGAGGACAAUGGCGCUGUAAAGACUCUGCGUAUCAAAAGCGCUGCGUGCAGGAAAGUCAAAACCAAGCAGUCCGAAUCAGCGAUGGUGAUGAGAGCGGUGCGGAUGGGGACGGCAGCUCCGACGUGGGACGAGGACUGUCUUCGGCGCACGGGUGGGCGUCCGGGAGCCCGGAGGAGCCGAGGGUCAGCUGGGGCGUCUCGUGGAGCUCGGCGCCUUCGACACCUGGUACUCUUGGACGUGGCUGAACGCGCUGACGGGGGGAUAGGCAACCAGAGGCUCAGACCAGCGCAGUGCCUGACUUCCGUGCAGCGUUAGUGCCUGGGACCUGCAUUUGGUGGGGUAUUGCCCUAUCUUUUCCAUACUGUUGUUUUCUAAGGGCUGUCUAAGGAGUCCGGCACAAAAGCAACACAGCGCUUGUACCCCACAAAGACAAGAUUUCCC